UUGUACAGGCAUAUCACUCUGCAGCCCAAGACUGGUUACUCACUGAAGCUAUGCAGGGCUGAGCUUGGUCAGUACCUGGAUGGGAGACCACAUGGAAAAGCUAAGUUGUUGUUGGAA
ensembl:rRNA 5S_rRNA 5S ribosomal RNA